rnacentral:rRNA from 1 species
AUUGAACGCUGGCGGCAUGCUUUACACAUGCAAGUCGGACGAGUGGCGAACGGGUGAGUAAUAUAUUGGAACGUACCGAGUAAUGGGGGAUAACCAAUCGAAAGUUUGGCUAAUUCCGCCUAUUAUUCCAUCGGCCAAUAUGUGAUUAGCUUGUUGGAGGGGUCAAGGCCUACCAAGGCGACGAUCAGGAGCGGGUCUGAGAGGAUGAUCCGCCACACUGGAACUGAGACACGGCCCAGACUCCUACGGGAGGCAGCAGUGGGGAAUUUUGGACAAUGGGCGCAAGCCUGAUCCAGCCAUGCCGCGUGUCUGAAGAAGGCCUUCGGGUUGUAAAGGACUUUUGUUAGGGAAGCGGUACCUAAAGAAUAAGCACCGGCUAACUACGUGCCAGCAGCCGCGGUAAUUC